ACCCUGCACUUACAAGCUGUGGAAGCACAUUUCUUGUGUGACCGCGUACUUUUUGUAGAACGGGCCAACGAGUUACGUUAAGUAGCAAGGUUAAGCACUUAAGGUGUGGAGCCGUAGCGAAAGCGAGGUUUAACUGAGCGUUCAGUUACUUGACGUAGACCCGAAACCGGGCGACCUACCCAUGAGCAGGAUGAAGCGAAAGUAAAAUUUCGUGGAGGUCCGAACCCACGAGCG
rnacentral:rRNA from 1 species